GAUUUAUACCGCGUACGCCCUUCGGGGGAAAGCAGGGGAUCUUCGGACCUUGCGCUAUUGGAUGUGCCUAUGUCGGAUUAGCUAGUUGGUGGGGUAAAGGCCUACCAAGGCGACGAUCCGUAGCUGGUCUGAGAGGAUGAUCAGCCACAUCGGGACUGAGACACGGCCCGAACUCCUACGGGAGGCAGCAGUGGGGAAUAUUGGACAAUGGGGGCAACCCUGAUCCAGCCAUGCCGCGUGUGUGAAGAAGGCUUUCGGGUUGUAAAGCACUUUCAGUGAGGAGGAAAACCUUAUGGUUAAUACCCAUGAGGCUUGACGUUACUCACAGAAGAAGCACCGGCUAACUCCGUGCCAGCAGCCGCGGUAAUACGGAGGGUGCAAGCGUUAAUCGGAAUUACUGGGCGUAAAGCGCGCGUAGGUGGUUUGAUAAGCGAGAUGUGAAAGCCCCGGGCUUAACCUGGGAACGGCAUUUCGAACUGUCAGGCUAGAGUAUGGUAGAGGAGUGUGGAAUUUCCUGUGUAGCGGUGAAAUGCGUAGAUAUAGGAAGGAACACCAGUGGCGAAGGCGGCACUCUGGACCAAUACUGACACUGAAGUGCGAAAGCGUGGGGAGCAAACA
rnacentral:rRNA from 1 species